UCCCAGCAUCAAGAGCCGGGCCUCGAAACCCGGCACCAACCUGCUCCCAAGCAAGGUGGUGCCUUCGUGAAAACGAAGGGAUGUGGCCAGAACCGGCAACUUCGGGAAGAGCC
rnacentral:ncRNA from 1 species